GAUGAACGCUGGCUACAGGCUUAACACAUGCAAGUCGAGGGGAAACGACGGGGAAGCUUGCUUCCCCGGGCGUCGACCGGCGCACGGGUGAGUAACGCGUAUCCAACCUGCCUCUGACUGAGGGAUAACCCGUCGAAAGUCGGCCUAAUACCUCAUGGUAUCGUCUGCGGGCAUCUAACGACGAUUAAAGAUUUCAUCGGUCAGGGAUGGGGAUGCGUCUGAUUAGCUUGUUGGCGGGGUAACGGCCCACCAAGGCUACGAUCAGUAGGGGUUCUGAGAGGAAGGUCCCCCACAUUGGAACUGAGACACGGUCCAAACUCCUACGGGAGGCAGCAGUGAGGAAUAUUGGACAAUGGUCGGAAGACUGAUCCAGCCAUGCCGCGUGCAGGAUGAAGGUCCUAUGGAUUGUAAACUGCUUUUGUAAGGGAAGAAUAAGGAGUACGUGUACUUUGAUGACGGUACCUUACGAAUAAGCAUCGGCUAACUCCGUGCCAGCAGCCGCGGUAAUACGGAGGAUGCGAGCGUUAUCCGGAAUCAUUGGGUUUAAAGGGUCCGUAGGCGGGCUGAUAAGUCAGAGGUGAAAGCGCUUAGCUCAACCGCAAGCCUGCUCUGGAAACUAUGCGGCUAGAGUACUGGGAGAGGUGGACGGAACUGCACGAGUAGAGGUGAAAUUCGUAGAUAUGUGCAGGAAUGCCGAUGAUAAGAUAGUUCACUGGACGGUAACUGACGCUGAAGUGCGAAAGCUAGGGGAACAAACAGGAUAGAUACCCUAGUAGUCCAUGGCGAAUUCCACAUUGGGGCUGCAGCCCGGGGGACCACUAGUUCUAGAGCCGGCCGCCCCGGGGGAGCUCCAAAUCGCCCUAUUAGUGAUUAUUAUUACACA
rnacentral:rRNA from 1 species